UACUUUCAAGACCACUCAGUAACUUCCUAACCUAUCCAAAUAGUGAUUGUGCACAAGGUGUCAGUUUAAUAUAAACAAAACAGAAAGUAAUUCACCGGUAAACCAAAGGAUUUUAAAUUUUAUGAUUGAGAUGAUAUAAUUUGAAGGCGGCUGCCCGUGCCCCGUUUACCACUGACGGGGGUCCGCACAUCAUAGCACGCCUGCACCUCCAGCAGACAUGCUUUCCCUCGAUUAGAUAUACAGUAUAUUCAACAUGGUAGGCAACGGACCCUCUACGCUGGAACCAACCACCCAAACUGAAAAUUUCAGCUAAAAGGCCAGCAUCCUUAUUUUCCUUUGCCACCUGUACGUAAUAUACAAAAAAAAUCUGGGGUCAUACCGCAAAAACGCGUGUCUUAUACGAUUCAUAUGGACGAUGGCUGUGGUCCCAUUUUCUUUGAGGAUUUCGACAUUAUAGUCACUCACUAAUUGG